rnacentral:rRNA from 1 species
UAAAAUAAUCUUAUCUGGUAAAGCGAAUGAUUAGAGGCCUUAGGGUCGAAACGACCUUAACCUAUUCUCAAACUUUAAAUGGGUAAGAACCUCACCUUUCUUGAUAUGAAGGUUGAGGUUAUGAUAUAAUGUGCCCAGUGGGCCACUUUUGGUAAGCAGAACUGGCGCUGUGGGAUGAACCAAACGUAAUGUUACGGUGCCUAAAUUAACAACUCAUGCAGAUACCAUGAAAGGCGUUGGUUGCUUAAAACAGCAGGACGGUGGACAUGGAAGUCGUAAUCCGCUAAGGAGUGUGUAACAACUCACCUGCCGAAGCAACUAGCCCUUAAAAUGGAUGGCGCUCAAGUUGUAUACCUAUACAUUACCGCUAAAGUACAUGAUUUAUAAUACGAAUUUGCGUUUGUUUUAUAAAUUUUGAAACUUUAGUGAGUAGGAGGGUACAAUGGUGUGCUUAGAAGUGUUUGGCGUAAGCCUGCAUGGAGCCGCCAUUGGUACAGAUCUUGGUGGUAGUAGCAAAUAAUCGAAUGAGACCUUGGAGGACUGAAGUGGAGAAGGGUUUCGUGUGAACAGUGGUUGAUCACGAGUUAGUCGGUCCUAAGUUCAAGGCGAAAGCCGAAAAUUUUCAAGUUUUAAUGA